AUUGAACGCUGGCGGCAUGCCUUACACAUGCAAGUCGAACGGUAACAGGUCUUCGGAUGCUGACGAGUGGCGAACGCGUGAGUAAUACAUCGGAACGUGCCUAGUAGUGGGGGAUAACUACUCGAAAGAGUGGCUAAUACCGCAUGAGAUCUACGGAUGAAAGCAGGGGAUCGCAAGACCUUGUGCUACUAGAGCGGCCGAUGGCAGAUUAGGUAGUUGGUGGGAUAAAAGCUUACCAAGCCGACGAUCUGUAGCUGGUCUGAGAGGACGAUCAGCCACACUGGGACUGAGACACGGCCCAGACUCCUACGGGAGGCAGCAGUGGGGAAUUUUGGACAAUGGGCGAAAGCCUGAUCCAGCAAUGCCGCGUGCAGGAUGAAGGCCUUCGGGUUGUAAACUGCUUUUGUACGGAACGAAAAGCUCUGGGUUAAUACCCUGGGGUCAUGACGGUACCGUAAGAAUAAGCACCGGCUAACUACGUGCCAGCAGCCGCCGUAACAC
rnacentral:rRNA from 1 species